AACUGUNUGACUUGAGUGCAGAAGGGGAGAGUGGAAUUCCAUGUGUAGCGGCGAAAUGCGUAGAUAUAUGGAGGAACACCAGUGGCGAAAGCGGCUCUNUGGUCUGUCACUGACGCUGAGGCUCGAAAGCCUGGGUAGCGAACAGGAUUAGAUACCCUGGUAGUNCACGCCGUAAACGAUGAGUGCUAGGUGUUAGGCCCUUUCCGGGGCUUAGUGCCGGAGCUAACGCAAUAAGCACUCCGCCUGGGGAGUACGACCGCAAGGUUGAAACUCAAAGGAAUUGACGGGGGCCCGCACAAGCGGUGGAGCAUGUGGUUUAAUUCGAAGCAACGCGAAGAACCUUACCAGGUCUUGACAUCCCGAUGCUAUUCUUAGAGAUAGGAAGUUACUUCGGUACAUCGGAGACAGGUGGUGCAUGGUUGUCGUCAGCUCGUGUCGUGAGAUGUUGGGUUAAGUCCCGCAACGAGCGCAACUCUUAUUGUUAGUUGCCAUCAUUAAGUUGGGCACUCUAGCGAGACUGCCGGUAAUAAACCGGAGGAAGGUGGGGAUGACGUCAAAUCAUCAUGCCCCUUAUGACCUGGGCUACACACGUGCUACAAUGGUCGGUACAACGAGUUGCGAGCCGGUGACGGCAAGCUAAUCUCUGAAAGCCGAUCUCAGUUCGGAUUGGAGGCUGCAACUCGCCUCCAUGAAGUCGGAAUCGCUAGUAAUCGCGGAUCAGCACGCCGCGGUGAGUACGUUCCCGGGCCUUGUACGCACCGCCCGUCACACCACGAGAGUUUGUAACACCCGAAGUCGGUGAGGUANCCUUUUAGGG
rnacentral:rRNA from 1 species